AUUGUUAGGCCUGAAUAAAGAUAUAGCAGACAAAACCAGGUAUGCCAACCUGACCAAAGUCAGGCUAACAGAGGUUUCUGGGAAAUUCUUGAGUGGAAAAUACUGAGAAGCAGCAUGUCUCACAAAGAGCUGGGAAAAAGUGAGAUAAGGGAGGGGCUGCAUUCCUGGCAUAGUACCAGCUGUGCUAUGUUAGGAACAGUUCCCUCCUUGCUUUCACUCCCUGGUUCUGUUCUCUGUCUGUUUUUAAUUCCCCUACAUUUCUAACUUCUGGUGCUUGUUAAGAUAUUAUUAAUCAUCUAAUGUUGUAAAACAUGUAUACUAAAGGUGUCUAGUUUCUAGUUGUUAGAAGAAGGGAAUGGGUUGCUCAAGUGAAUAAUCUAUGACGCGACGGAACUGUUUAUAUAGGCUUAUACUAAGACCUAAAGAGGAAGCUGGUUCUCUCUGGAGAUGAGUUGCUCUCUAUUGUCAUGUGCACUCUUCAAUAAAGAGCUUUUGAUCGGA